AGGAGGAGAACCGGUGCGAGCAGGAGACCAGGCCUCCAGAUUCUCAGAAAUGCAACCUACAAAAAUGUGUGGAAAAUACUGGCUCAUCCUGCAGUAAGGACAGACUAUCCGUGAACUUCUGCGAGAAGGUGCGAGAUAUUGGCAAAUGUUCUGCGCCCUCAGUGAGGAUUCAGUGCUGUCAAACGUGCAAAAGAUCCUUGGCUGUCAACGCAAUGGGCCGCAAUGAGAAUUAACCAAAUCUGAAUCAUUAUCCAAAUAAAAACUGAACUUGCUAAGAUGGACUUUGGAAAUAAAGAAAAUUCGUCUACAAUUUCCAGCAUGCUCUAUGGACCUAUAAUUUAAACCUUCCCAGAGGCAAGACGGCCUCUUCAAACAUUGGACAUCAUUAUUUUUGUGUGUUCUAUAUAUUAUCCUUAUUUUUUUCUGUACCUGUUGGCAGUUCCUUUAAUUUCAUUUUCCUUCUCUGGAUCACUCCCGGCUCAAACUUUCUGGCCCACUUUAAAUAGGUUUUCUUGCUUUAAUGAAUCAGUUUUUAUGCUGAUUUGGCAAGAAAGCUCUACUGGAAAUAGAAAAAAGAUUUUGAUCUAUAUAUAUACCCAAGUAUGGAUCUUAUUCUGUAUUAAAACAGUCAUCUAAGA